UUCCCGCCCUCGCGCGCCCCGUUCGCCCGCGGCCCUGAGAGGAACCGGGGCCCGGAGCCGAACCCCGGAGCCGAACCCCGCAGCCGAACCCCGGAGCCGAACCCCGCUCCUGCCCCGUCCUGCCACCCGUUAGCCCUUUCCCCCCGCCCCCGCCCCAGGGAGAGGGGUUUCCCUCCCGCCCGCCCAGCGCCAAACGGCACCGGUUGUUCCUCGAGUUAGACAAAACAUCCCGUUGGGACGUGUGACAGCUGAAAGAUUGUACCUGUGGCAGCAGCAGAUCCUGUCAGGAGGGAAUAUCCAGCAGAAACCAAGGUUGCUCAUGCAUGAGGGAAGAGGGUGAGACCUGAUUUCUUUAACUUGUUUGGAAGAGAGGAGGAUUAGGAAAGAGGCGUUUGCUCAAACAGGAUAUGGUGGGGGUUGUUUGGAUUUUUUUGUUUGUUUUGUUUACUUUAAUAAAUGUGUGUGUUCUUAGUGAAUCCACAAAGUGCCUCCCCUGGCUGAGGAGCUCAAACCCACACCCUCCCACCUUCCAGUGGCUCUUCCCCAGUCAAACCUUUUCCUAUUUUUCCCCUUCACGUUUGCCCUCUCCAUUUGGGCACGGGGCCGAGAUUCAUUGUGAACAAGGAUACCAGAGCCAGCAGCAUCACACCAAGAUAGAAUUUGGCUCAGAGAGUACAAAAAUGACAAGAGUAUAAAAAUGACAAGAGUAUAAAAUGACAGGAUGUCCCCCUCGCCAGCCCUGGGUCACUUUGGCAGCAGAGACAUCUCAGGCAUCUUCCAGUCCAAUCCCAGACUUCUUGCUGGGAAGAGACAAGAAAACCCUUCAGCUCCCCCUCAGGCUCCAGCUUACCAGGUCAAAGGUGUCCUGAAAAACCAGGAAAUUCUGGGGAGGCUGAAGAUCACACAGAGAUAUUCCUUGCCAAAAACACCAGGGUGGAGAUUUCCCACUCCUACCCAAGAGAGGUCAUAGCCAGCCCCACAGAGAAAAGGGGGUCCUUCCUCGGUUCAGCUGUCACCCCAAAUUCCCCUUCCUUGCUGCACUUUCCCAGGUUAUCCUCCGUGGUGCUGCAGAAACCCUUCCCCAGGGCUCACAGCACCCUUUGCUGUUUGAAGCCUCUGGAAUAACACUAAGGUGCUGGUGAAGAAUUCAAGCUUUUUUUGGAGGGGCCGUUCAUUUCUCAUGUGCUAAAACCAUCAGCAAAAAAAUACCCACAGACCUGAAAUGAUCUGAUUUUACAGUUGUGCUGGUGGAGAAAAACAGUGUCAGAUUUAAUCCUUCCUCCUGCUCCUCUUUCCCAGUGUUUUCCAGGGACCUUUUUUCCUUCCUCUAAGUUGAAGGACAUAAAGUUUCAGAUGGCUCUGAACAAGUUGAGCAGCAACACGGCCAGAGCUCAGAUUGCCUUUUCUUGACUAAAUUUGUUUGAUCUUCUUUUUUUUCCAGGCCUGGGGUGUCAGUUAAAAGAACACUACUCUUUUGUCUUGUGUGUUGCUCCCCUACAAAAUAAUGAACUGUUGAAUACACUAGAGGCAAUUUCAAAUUAUCUAGUUUAAUGAGGAAGGUUGUGACAGAAGAUUUAUUACCCUUUCUGAUCUGCUAAUGUAUUUUCCCAACCAUCCCAGCAGAACCAAUCACCAUAUUUUCAUUAUCCACUCUAUUUUCAGGGGUUCAUUAGUUGAAGACUAAAAAUAACAGCAAAGGUCUCAGUCUGAGAGCUAAUCCAAUUUUUUUUUUUUCUUUUAAUUGGAAACAAAAUUUGAUUAGACAACUUUCUAAUCAUAACAGCAUCAAGCACCAAGACCCUUACAGGGUGUUUUGUCCAAAUUGAAAUUUAAUGUGACUACACAUAAAGACCUGACCUAGAAAUAUGGCCUCAUCACUGCCACAAAGGACAAAACCAGCCUUUUCCUCCAACAACAAAAAACCAAACCCUGGUAGCACAAGUGAUGGACUGUAGACUAUUCCAACUGACAUGUGUGGGAAAAAAAAGGUCAAGCAAUGAACCUGUUUGAUUGAGACAAACUCAGAGCUGCUCUUGGCAGGUGGCUGAACAUGAGACUUAAGAACUAAUGAAGAUUUUUUUUUCUUCUUCUCAAAGAAUUAAAAAGAGAAAUAAGGAAAAGAAGAUGGAAGAGUUCCCAGACAGCCAAGAGGGCUUCCUACCUCACAGCUGGAUUCAGAUCUUUCUGAAGUUGGUACUUCCCAGGAAUGGCUUUGUCCCAGCAGGUUACAGCAUCUAACAUGGUGCUUUUCCAGCUGCAUCAUUUUGAUAUGAAAGAGCCACCAGCAAAACGAAGAAGACAGGGAGACAAACAGUUCUGGGUUUCACAGAGCAAGCUCUUGGCAAAAAGGUAUCACCACCACUGUGGUGGGAGGCUGGAGAUGCACUGCAUGCCUGGCAGCUGCCCCACAAGGCUGUUGUCCUUGUGUCUCCCCUGACAGUUGUCCUCGUAUCUCUGUGCUGGUGGGGGAAAGAAGGACCCAUGUUCACAAGGACCAGCUUCAGCAGAGGGACACUGGCUUUGGCCCCCUGCAGUGGGCAGACAUCCUUAGUGGGCUCAUGAGCCUGCAGUGACUUAAUUAUGCCGUGGCCAGCAUGGGAUCUCUCUGAUCCAAAUGUCCUUCUGACAGGUCCCAAACACACAACACAGAAUCACAGAGUGGUCAGGGUUGGAAGGGACCUCUGGAGAUCAUCUAGAUCUGGAGGUCCUGCUAGAGCAGGAUCCCCUACAGCAGGUCACACAGGAACACAUCCAAGUGGGUCUGGAGUAUCUCCAGAGACAGAUACUCCACAACGUCUCUGCACAGCCUGUUCCAGUGCUCAAAGUGAAACCCCAGACCCUCAAAGUGAAGGAGUUUUUCCUUCUGUUUAGCCUGAACCUCCCGUGCUGCAUUUUGUGACCACUGCUCCUUGUCCUGUCAAGGGAUUAAGAGAUUCUCCCCAGUGAUAAAAUAACUGGAGUCCCCAGGCGAGGAGAUCCUUGGGACACUUGGCAGUCUUCCCCAGCCCUACAAGGAUCCCUGCAGGAAGGUGCAUGUAAAGACCUGCCUGUGGGGUGAUGGGCUGAGGGUGUUUUGGCUGGAUAACACAUCCCUCCCAUGCCCAGGGGAUUUUCUAAAUGGAUGUAGGGAAGGGAGAAGUUAUUGCAACUCACGUCAGCCCCGUGCCUAUAGAUUUUAGAUGCAUAAAUGAUAUAUUUACAUUCAAAACUCUAUUAUUCAUAGAGUUGAGUAAACAAGUAUUGAUUUUUACACUGUAGCACAGAUGAGUAUGUCUAAUGAUGUAGCCAGAGGCUCUUCUUCCAUCCUUGGUAACUCUGACCUCAUCGGUGCUUCCCGGGAGUAGAAUUUUAACCAAGGACGAUCAAGUUUAAAACCAGUUAGCUGCAGCUGUUUGGAAUGGAAAUCAAUGUGCAUUUCUUUCUGAAUGGACAACUUCUCCACCCCCACCACGUCACGUCCUCUGACUGUUUUAGAUGCUGAACCAGACAGAAGCAGAGGGAAAGCAAGCGAGGAAAGGAUGCGUGAAGCAAUCUCAGCUCAUGGAAUAACCUUGUCUGCCUUAGGGGAAGAGGCAAAGACAUCCUGGCUGGGUGGACAGAGCAGAAAGAAUAAGCUUCAAUGUAUAAAAAAAAGAGUGAUACUACUGCAGAGCUUGUAUUAAAACUUUUGAGGCAGGUCCUGUGAGCUUGUGUCAAGAUUUCUCUCUGUUAAAGAUGCGAUGUCACCACGGACACUUAGGGGUGGCAGGAAAAAAAAAACCCACAACCCUUUAAGUGCAUUUUCCAGGAGUACGUUAUUUCAGAGGUUGACUAAAAUCACUUACUUCAUGGCUAACUUUGCUCUAUGGAAUCCAUGGACAAGUUCCUUAUUGGAUUUUUAUUGCAGAUCAAAUUGACAGAGAAAAUCACUAGGAUCUACUGAAAAAUGGGAAGGAAAUGUACGUUUCCAAUAAAAAGGUCUCUGAAGGUCUCUUGUUUCAUAGGAAGGAAGCUGUCUUUAUAUUGCAUGAACUAUAAAAAAUGAUUAAAACUGAAGAGAGACAGGAAGCUGAUAAUUUGAUUUAUCAUCUUAAUGGCUAUGAUUCAUGAAUAAAUAAUAUAAUGGUUUAUGUCUCUCUUGUAAAAGAAGUAGAGAAGAGCAAUUUGUCUAAUAAAUGACUUCAAAAAUUA